UGGACACAAACACAAAGAGAUCCGGCACUAU
rnacentral:piRNA from 1 species